GACGAACGCUGGCGGCGUGCCUAAUACAUGCAAGUAGGACGCAGUUGCGAACGGGUGAGUAACGCGUAGGUAACUACCUAUUAGAGGGGGAUAACUAUUGGAAACGAUAGCUAAUACCGCAUACUAGUAGAUGGACCUGCGUUGUAUUAGCUAGUAGGUAGGGUAAUGGCCUACCUAGGCAACGAUACAUAGCCGACCUUGGGAGGUGAUCGGCCACACUGGGACUGGGGCACAGCCCAGACCCCUACGGGAGGCAGGAUGAGGGGAACUUCGGCAAUGGGGGGAACCCUGGACGAGCAACGCCGCGUGAGUGAAGAAAGGUUUCGGAUCGUAAAGCUCUGUUGUUAAGGAAGCGGUACUUAACCAGAAAGGGACGGCUAACUACGUGCCAGCCGCCGCGGUAAUUC
rnacentral:rRNA from 1 species